rnacentral:rRNA from 1 species
GAUGAACGCUGGCGGCGUGCUUAACACAUGCAAGUCGAACGGAAAGGCCCAAGCUUGCUUGGGUACUCGAGUGGCGAACGGGUGAGUAACACGUGGGUGAUCUGCCCUGCACUUCGGGAUAAGCCUGGGAAACUGGGUCUAAUACCGGAUAGGACGAUGGUUUGGAUGCCAUUGUGGAAAGUUUUUUCGGUGUGGGAUGAGCUCGCGGCCUAUCAGCUUGUUGGUGGGGUAAUGGCCUACCAAGGCGUCGACGGGUAGCCGGCCUGAGAGGGUGUACGGCCACAGUGGGACUGAGAUACGGCCCAGACUCCUACGGGAGGCAGCAGUGGGGAAUAUUGCACAAUGGGCGCAAGCCUGAUGCAGCGACGCCGCGUGGGGGAUGACGGCCUUCGGGUUGUAAACUCCUUUCGCUAGGGACGAAGCGUUUUGUGACGGUACCUGGAGAAGAAGCACCGGCUAACUACGUG